CACCCCUCAAAGCCUAGCUUUGGUGUUGGAGGAAUACCUGUCACAGGGUACCCUCUGAAAUGUAGUGGCGGGCUCGCUAGAAUUUUGAGCGUAGUAAUUAUACCUCGUUUAUAAAGACUAGUGGGACUUCUUGCCAUAAAACCCCCCAACUUUCUGAA
rnacentral:misc_RNA from 2 species